rnacentral:rRNA from 1 species
UUACUUCGGUACAUCGGUGCAGGUGGUGCAUGGUUGUCGUCAGCUCGUGUCGUGAGAUGUUGGGUUAAGUCCCGUAACGAGCGCAACCCUUGUCCUUAGUUACCAGCACGUUAUGGUGGGCACUCUAAGGAGACUGCCGGUGACAAACCGGAGGAAGUGGGGAUGACGUCAAGUCAUCAUGGCCCUUACGGCCUGGGCUACACACGUGCUACAAUGGUCGGUACAAAGGGUUGCCAAGCCGCGAGGUGGAGCUAAUCCCAUAAAACCGAUCGUAGUCCGGAUCGCAGUCUGCAACUCGACUGCGUGAAGUCGGAAUCGCUAGUAAUCGUGAAUCAGAAUGUCACGGUGAAUACGUUCCCGGGCCUU